rnacentral:rRNA from 1 species
GUCUUGGCCUUAAACGAUGUUCACUAGGUGUUGGGGGGUAACCCCCGGUGCCGCAGCUAACGCAUUAAGUGAACCGCCUGGGGACUACGGCCGCAAGGUUGAAACUCAAAGGAAUUGGCGGGGGACCGCACAAGCGGUGGAGCAUGUGGCUUAAUUCGAUGCAACGCGAAGAACCUUACCAGGGCUUGACAUGUAUCUGCAAGCUGCCGAAAAGCAGUCGCUUUCGAAGGUGAUACACAGGUGGUGCAUGGCUGUCGU